CUACGGGGUGCCGCAGUGAGGAAUAUUGCACAAUGGGGGGAACCCUGAUGCAGCAACGCCGCGUGGAGGAUGACGCAUUUCGGUGUGUAAACUCCUUUUAUAUGUCAAGAAAAUGACGGUAGCAUAUGAAUAAGCACCGGCUAACUCCGUGCCAGCAGCCGCGGUAAUACGGAGGGUGCAAGCGUUACUCGGAAUCACUGGGCGUAAAGGACGCGUAGGCGGGUUGGAAAGUCAGGUGUGAAAUCCUACAGCUUAACUGUAGAACUGCACUUGAAACUUCUAAUCUAGAGUAUGGGAGGGGGAGAUGGAAUUAGUGGUGUAGGGGUAAGAUCCGUAGAUAUCACUAGGAAUACCUAAAGCGAAGGCGAUCUCCUGGAACAUUACUGACGCUAAGGCGUGAAAGCGUGGGGAGCAAACAGGAUUAGAUACCCUAGUAGUC
rnacentral:rRNA from 1 species